AAACGAGAAAAAGUAUUCUCAUUUAUUAGUAAUAAAUAUGCUAACCGAAUCAAGGUAUCACUUUAAAGUUAUGAGAUUAUCAGUUAAAUUAUUCAUGUUAAAAGGAUACUACCUCAAGAUGGUUGGGUUAUAGGAAAACUUCUUUGCCUAUAUUUUGGGAGAGGCAUAUAAACAUGUGUGUUUAGAAAGAAAUUUGACAGAAAAGGUGACGUAGAAAUGGUCAUAAUCUUUGCCCUAAUCAUUCUACUCUAAAGAAUAAUUGAAAAGUGGAAGAAAGCCCCAUAUAUAUGAACAAUUUUAUUGCCAACAUUGUAUGUAACAUAAAAAGGGAAUGUAAUGUCAAAAUGUAAUGUAAAAAACAUACAUAUUUAGAUAACUAUGAUUUUAACUAUGAUUAAAAACAUACAUAUUUAGAUAACUUUUGCAAUGUUACAUAGCUAUUAAAAAGUUAUUAUAAAGCAGGUUCUCAACUUGAGUGUGCAUCAGAAUCACCUGGAGAGCUUAUAAAAACACAGCUUACUCAGCCCAAGUCCAAGUUCUUGAUUCAGUAGGUCUGGAAUGGGAAUCUAGAAUUUGCAUUUCUGACAAUUUCCAGGUAAUGCUGGUCCAAGGACCACACUUUGAGAACUCUCAAUAGUGCAAAGAGAUAUUUUAGUGAAAUCAUGGUUAAAAGCAUGGGGUAAGGAAGACAGUCAGACUCAUUGGAAUUCCAGCUUUAAAGCUAUCAUGGGCCCAAAGCUCUAGAGUUUCUACAAACUCUUCAGGGAUCUCUGAAAAGGCUUGAGACUUUUCUGCAGGUCUUUAAAUAAAGCAGGAGUCCCAAAGCAAGCGACAACAGGGACCAAGGAGGUAAGACAGCUGAAGACAGUGAGGACUUCUAUGAACUGGAGAGCACAGCCCCAUCUAAUCCAGGGAGCUGAUUGUUGCCUGAGGAAAUUCAGCACCAGUGUUGCCAGGUCUUAAUUAAUUCUUUCAAGAAAAGCAUAAAACUCUGUAUCUUGAUAAACUCAUGAAAAC
rnacentral:lncRNA from 1 species